rnacentral:lncRNA from 1 species
ACAUAUAUAGUCAUAUGAAAUGUCUGAGUAUCAGCUAAAUAGAAUACUUUUUCUCAUGAAAGUAGAAGAAACACAGGGCAGAAUUUCACUUCGUGGAUCAUGUUCCAAUUUGUUUCUCUUGUAGCAGACUUCUUAACCAGUCAUAUAAAACAGAACAGAAAAUGUCCUAGAAGAUGUUUUAAACAUCCGGUCAUUUUGGCAAAGGAUGAAAAAGUCAGUGUGAGGAGCAAAGACAGAGUACAUAAAGGUCACAUUGCCUACCUGUGCAACCCAAAUCUUGU